CCAAGAUGGCCCUGAUUACACCAGCAAGCAUACAUGCCAACUGUCUGGAGCUCUCACUCGGCCAAAGGUCUGUCAGCUACCUUGUACAAGUUCCACUGCACACUGUUCCUAGACAAGUUCACUCAGGAAGACCAAGAUAAAGUAGUGGGAGACUCCUUCCACAAGCUUGAGAGACCCCUCUUUUGUGACCAGCACUUAUUCCCGCUGGAAGUAUACUCCAUGUGACAGACUGCCCGAACACAUCUGGAUUCAUUAACUCUUGUACCCCUCCUGAUUGUGCCUCCCAGCUCACUGCUCAACACACC